UACGGGGGGGGCUAGCGUUAUUCGGAAUCAUUGGGCGUAAAGGGCGCGUAGGCGGCGCGGUAAGUCAAAGGUGAAAUCCCUCGGCUCAACUGAGGAACUGCCUUUGAAACUGCCGUGCUUGAGUCCGGGAGGGGGUAGCGGAAUUCCCAGUGUAGCGGUGAAAUGCGUAGAUAUUGGGAGGAACACCAGUGGCGAAGGCGGCUACCUGGACCGGUACUGACGCUGAUGCGCGAAGGCCAGGGGAGCAAACGGG
rnacentral:rRNA from 1 species